rnacentral:rRNA from 1 species
UUAAGUCCCGCAACGAGCGCAACCCUUGUCUUUAGUUGCCAUCAUUAAGUUGGGCACUCUAAAGAGACUGCCGGUGUCAAACCGGAGGAAGGUGGGGAUGACGUCAAGUCCUCAUGGCCUUUAUGACCGGGGCUACACACGUACUACAAUGGCAGGUACAAAGGGCAGCCACUUAGCGAUAAGGCGCGAAUCCCGUAAAACCUGUCUCAGUCCGGAUUGGAGUCUGCAACUCGACUCCAUGAAGUUGGAAUCGCUAGUAAUCGCAGAUCAGCACGCUGCGGUGAAUACGUUCCCGGGCCUU